rnacentral:rRNA from 1 species
AUGGUGGGACCAUUCAAAAUAGCACGAGGCGGCCUAACUCACUUACUUGUCGCUGUGGACAAGUUCACCAAGUGGAUAGAAGUAAAGCCCAUCAAGAAGUUGAAUGGUCCGACUUCAGUGACUUUCAUCGCUGACAUCACGACUCGGUACGGCAUACCACACAGCAUCAUCACCGACAACGACACAAAUUUCGCCAAAGGUGCCUUGGCCCGUUUCUGCGCGACACAGGGCAUCCGACUGGACUUAGCAUCCGUUGCCCAUCCGCAGUCAAACGGCCAGGUAGAGCGAGCAAACAGCCUCAUCCUGUCCGGCAUCAAGCCUCGGCUGGUCGAACCAUUAGAGCGUUCGGCCGGCUGCUGGCUUGACGAGUUGCUAGUCGUCCUCUGGAGUCUGCGCAUGACUCCAAACAAGUCAACCAGCUUCACAACUUUCUUCCUCAUCUACGGUGCUGAAGCCGUCAUCCCGACAGACAUAGAAUUCGACUCCCCGUGA